rnacentral:rRNA from 1 species
CAGCCGCCGCGGUAAAACGUGGGUGGCAAGCGUUGUCCGGAAUGACUGGGCGUAAAGGGCGCGUAGGCGGUUUGUACAGUUGGAUGUGAAAUUCCUGGGCUUAACCUGGGGGCUGCAUUUGAUACGUGUAGGCUAGAGUGGGGAAGAGGGUUGUGGAAUUCCCAGUGUAGAGGUGAAAUUCGUAGAUAUUGGGAAGAACACCGGUGGCGAAGGCGGCAACCUGGUCCUUGACUGACGCUGAGGCGCGAAAGCGUGGGGAGCAAACAGGAUUAGAUACCCCCGUAGUCCCUGUCUCUUAUAC